UACGUAGGGUGCAAGCGUUUGUCCGGAAUUAUUGGGCGUAAAGAGCUCGUAGGCGGUCUGUCGCGUCGGCUGUGAAAUCCCGAGGCUCAACCUCGGGUCUGCAGUCGAUACGGGCAAACUAGAGUAUUGCAGGGGAGACUGGAAUUCCUGGUGUAGCGGUGAAAUGCGCAGAUAUCAGGAGGAACACCGGUGGCGAAGGCGGGUCUCUGGGCAAUAACUGACGCUGAGGAGCGAAAGCGUGGGGGAGCAAACAGG
rnacentral:rRNA from 1 species